AAAUUGAAGAGUUUGAUCAUGGCUCAGAUUGAACGCUGGCGGCAGGCCUAACACAUGCAAGUCGAACGGUAACAGGAAGCAGCUUGCUGCUUCGCUGACGAGUGGCGGACGGGUGAGUAAUGUCUGGGAAACUGCCUGAUGGAGGGGAUAACUACUGGAAACGGUGGCUAAUACCGCAUAACGUCGCAAGACCAAAGAGGGGGACCUUCGGGCCUCUUGCCAUCAGAUGUGCCCAGAUGGGAUUAGCUUGUUGGUGAGGUAACGGCUCACCAAGGCGACGAUCCCUAGCUGGUCUGAGAGGAUGACCAGCCACACUGGAACUGAGACACGGUCCAGACUCCUACGGGAGGCAGCAGUGGGAAUAUUGCACAAUGGGCGCAAGCCUGAUGCAGCCAUGCCGCGUGUAUGAAGAAGGCCUUCGGGUUGUAAAGUACUUUCAGCGGGGAGGAAGGUGUUGUGGUUAAUAACCGCAGCAAUUGACGUUACCCGCAGAAGAAGCACCGGCUAACUCCGUGCCAGCAGCCGCGGUAAUACGGAGGGUGCAAGCGUUAAUCGGAAUUACUGGGCGUAAAGCGCACGCAGGCGGUCUGUCAAGUCGGAUGUGAAAUCCCCGGGCUCAACCUGGGAACUGCAUUCGAAACUGGCAGGCUUGAGUCUUGUAGAGGGGGGUAGAAUUCCAGGUGUAGCGGUGAAAUGCGUAGAGAUCUGGAGGAAUACCGGUGGCGAAGGCGGCCCCCUGGACAAAGACUGACGCUCAGGUGCGAAAGCGUGGGGAGCAAACAGGAUUAGAUACCCUGGUAGUCCACGCCGUAAACGAUGUCUACUUGGAGGUUGUGCCCUUGAGGCGUGGCUUCCGGAGCUAACGCGUUAAGUAGACCGCCUGGGGAGUACGGCCGCAAGGUUAAAACUCAAAUGAAUUGACGGGGGCCCGCACAAGCGGUGGAGCAUGUGGUUUAAUUCGAUGCAACGCGAAGAACCUUACCUGGUCUUGACAUCCACGGAAGUUUUCAGAGAUGAGAAUGUGCCUUCGGGAACCGUGAGACAGGUGCUGCAUGGCUGUCGUCAGCUCGUGUUGUGAAAUGUUGGGUUAAGUCCCGCAACGAGCGCAACCCU
rnacentral:rRNA from 1 species